GCACGCAUAGCUCAGCUGGAUAGAGCAUCUGACUUCGGAUCAGAGGGUCGUGGGUUCAAAUCCUACUGCGUGUG
rnacentral:tRNA from 1 species